rnacentral:misc_RNA from 1 species
GAAAAUCCGAAAUUUUGAACUGAAUUUCAGUUUCUAAAAUGGAUUUACCGGAAGGUAUCGGGCGGUUUCGCUUCGAACUCGACGAGUCGUAUCGGCCUCUUCCUUCAGUGUACCUCGCUUUACUCACCAUCUGGUUGCUCUCUGCUUUUUCUUGGACUAUCAACACCUAUAAAAACCGCCACUUUCAGAUGAACAACCUUCAGUGGACGCUGGCAUCUGUGCCUCUGAUCAAAGCUUUGCAGCUCAUGCUUUCAUUCCUCUUCUGGUAUUCAUGCUUUUACCAUGAAAUAUGUUCACUUUGGUUGUCAUUUGGGGUGUAUAUAACUGGCGUGCUUUUCCAAACAGCUUCUUUUGUGUCCUUCUUGCUCAUCUCUCAUGGUUACUGCAUCAUGUGUGAGCGCCUUUCAGCAACUGAGCGCCGUGCUACGGCUGCACUUGGCUGUGUCUUUUACUUGACUCUUGUAGGGUACAGGGCUUCUGUACCAUAUUUCACAGUUCUGCUGCUGCUGAAUUAUUUAAUUUCAUUCUAUCUGAUUUUCCGCCAGAUAGCUCAAAAUCUUUCAGUUUUGAGGGAACAGUUAACCUUUAUAGAGGAUGAGGAUGUUCGAGAAAUGCAUGAUGCAGUGUAUACAAAGUACAUUAUGUUCAAGAAAUUUCAGGGUGCAAUGCAAAUAGUAGCCAUGGCUGAAACUGUGAUAUACAUUAAUGUCGAUACCUCUUCAGAAAAUUAUUGGCUACGCUUGUUAGUUAAAGAAUGGGCUCAGUUCUGCAUAUUAAUAUACAUCGGGUGGACUUUUAGGUCACAAGGCUUAGCACCACGAUUCUUUGUGAUGCCAACCAUAAAAUCUGAAGGAGAUAUAAUGGUGCCUCCAGUUUACAGUAUUGUAAGUGGUUUCCCAUAGUUGGGCCUCACCAAGAAGAUACUCCAAUAAGUUUUGCUAAUGGAUAUUUUGCCCUGCUGUAGUAGAUAUUGAGAUCUGUAGGUUGGGAAAAUCAAUUUCCUCACCUGGACAGUCUUAGUUUUCAUGGCAUAAAAGGGUUGAUUUUGGCUGUAAUGGAGCCAUUCAGUCCUGGUUAUUUAAUUCUUUCCCAAUACAUAGCCAUUAUGUUCCUGGUAUAGUAACAGUCAGUAUGAGCUUUUGGAUUUGGCUGGAAUUGGCAUGGAUAAUUUUGGUUUCAAAAUGCUGCAUAUUGCUAUAUCAUCUGUAUCAUCUGUGUCAUGAUUUCUCUAUUCCAACAAUGUGGAUAAGAUGAGUGCUCUGUUUAGCCUAUGGACGAUUCUAUUUACCUCAUAGUUAUGCCAUAGAUUGGCGUAGGUGUUUACAUCUCAGAUUAUAUAUUUCACCUUGGAUUUUGUGGAAUACUGUUUCCAGACAGUUCUCACUUAUGUGAUGACCAGCCUGCUAAGAUGCACACUUAGAAAGGGAAAACCAUGUACCUUUCACUUUUAGACUUGAUUUCAUUAAUGUGUUUACUCUUUUCAAAUAAUCCCAAGUCUUUUAUUGCAGGAAAUGGAUGCCACAACUUUUAAAGAUUUUAAUUGUAAUGAAUGGCACAUUGGAGUGGUAAGUAAAUUUCAUUAGACCUGUAUCACCUAAUGGUCUUAUAGCUGUCCAUCCAAAAUUCUGUGACAGUUUGAACAAAGCACAUUUCUUAUACCUGUAUAUGUUGACUCAUCUCAUCCUCAAAUCAUCUCCAACCUUUUUUGUUUUUGGAGAUUAAAGAAGAUAUAUUAAUCAAGAGCGAUCAGAAUCCAAAUGUGAUAAACAAGAGCUUGGGAGUACAUUUCUUGAUAGAAAAUUAAAACAAUUCGUUCACUCUCAAGUUGUCUAGCAUACAAGGAUUGCUAUUUAAUUUUCUGUUGGCUUGUGUAGCGUGUACUGAAAUAUUCUUUGUACAUCUGCAGCCAAUUUCUUCAUCUUGUGACAAAAGCUCCAUGGAUUCAAUUGUAGUUGUGAUUCAGAAUCCUCAUCCACUUAAACUGCCAACUGUCACCACAGCUUCACAGAUUGGAUAGCUUCUCAUACUGCAGACUUGUAUACAGGCUAAGCUUCAGUCAGAACAACGAGUACAGCAAGGUAGCCAUGAAUAGGAAGCUUUAAGUCCAGUUUUUGGUGGUAGACGAUUGUAUCAACAAAUUUAAUUUCAAUUUUAAACAUACACAAUUUUAUAGAAAUUUGAUGCGGUAGUAUAUGGUUGACUAGCCUGAGUUGGUCCCUGCUGCCCACUAGUUGUAUUCUUUGAAAUAUUGUAAUCCUGUCAAAAGAAAAAGAAAAAUAAAUGUAUAUAUUUCCAAUCUUUUUCACUUUUCUUUGACAUUGAUGGAUUGUAUUUUUCCUUUAUGCCUUUCUCAAUUUGAGAUCAGUGACGUUCUU